UACGAAGGGGGCUAGCGUUGCUCGGAAUCACUGGGCGUAAAGGGCGCGUAGGCGGCGUUUUAAGUCGGGGGUGAAAGCCUGUGGCUCAACCACAGAAUGGCCUUCGAUACUGGGACGCUUGAGUAUGGUAGAGGUUGGUGGAACUGCGAGUGUAGAGGUGAAAUUCGUAGAUAUUCGCAAGAACACCGGUGGCGAAGGCGGCCAACUGGACCAUUACUGACGCUGAGGCGCGAAAGCGUGGGAGCAAACAGG
rnacentral:rRNA from 1 species